rnacentral:misc_RNA from 1 species
GAUGAAGAACGUAGCGAAAUGCGAUAAGUAAUGUGAAUUGCAGAAUUCAGUGAAUCAUCGAAUCUUUGAACGCACAUUGCGCCCCCUGGCAUUCCGGGGGGCAUGCCUGUCCGAGCGUCAUUACAACCCUCAAGCUCAGCUUGGUGUUGGGCCCCGCCGCCCCGGCGGGCCCUAAAGUCAGUGGCGGUGCCGUCCGGCUCCGAGCGUAGUAAUUCUUCUCGCUCUGGAGGUCCGGUCGCGUGCUCGCCAGCAACCCCCAAUUUUUUUCAGGUUGACCUCGGAUCAGGUAGGGAUACCCGCUGAACUUAAGCAUAUCAAAAGCGGAGGA